rnacentral:rRNA from 1 species
UACGUAGGGUGCGAGCGUUGUCCGGAAUUACUGGGCGUAAAGCGUGCGCAGGCGGUUAUGCAAGACAGAUGUGAAAUCCCCGGGCUCAACCUGGGAACUGCAUUUGUGACUGCAUAGCUAGAGUGCGGCAGAGGGAGAUGGAAUUCCGCGUGUAGCAGUGAAAUGCGUAGAUAUGCGGAGGAACACCGAUGGCGAAGGCAAUCUCCUGGGCCUGCACUGACGCUCAUGCACGAAAGCGUGGGGAGCAAACAGG